rnacentral:rRNA from 1 species
UCGGCAAAUUAGAUCCGUAACUUCGGGAUAAGGAUUGGCUCUGAAGACUGUGGUAGCUGC